ensembl:lncRNA
CGUCAGGGCGUCGCACCGACGUGUGCGCACGAAAAUUAGGGGCGCGGCAGAACUGCGCUUGCGCAAUGGAACGGAAGCAUCUCCGACUCGGACCGCGGUGGUGGUGCUGCUGAUAUUGCUCUCGCGAUAACAACGGCGAGAUUUCCCGUGAUAACUCGCGGCCCCGCCGUCUUGUGUGAGGCUGCAGGGGCCGUGGCUGCUCCAGGAGGUUCGCGUCCCUGCUGCCCCGUCACGUCCUGGGAGCGGAGACACGCCGCCGGGAGUAUCUCGUCCUCAGCCCUCUGAGUGGACGGGGGGCCCUCCCGCGGCCCGCGUGCUCGCCAGUGGCUGGAGGCUGCUUCGCCUCGUCAGUUCCCCCUCUUUUCAGGCGUAUAUUUCGGGUCUGUGCUUCUGAGAGUUCCUCCUAGAAUCGCGGGGUCUGUGCGACCUGGACCAAGGCUUGAGGUCACCCUUUUAAAAUAAACGCUGAUGGCCACUUUCAACCAUCUCAGCAGAAGCCAGGAAUACAGAUGGGUUAUCCAGGAGAGAUGUACAGAGAAACCUCGUCAGAUGGAGUGAAUUCCGAUGACACGCAGGAGACCCCCAAGGUUGAACAUGUCACACCAGCAGAACCACUGCCAGCUUGGAUGGCAAGGGACAGGGUACAAAAGAUGGCUGUUAACCCCCGAAGAUUCCAGGGGCAGGAAACAGGCUGAUCCAAGUGUGCAGCCGUGAACAGGUGCUGCCCUCCAUGGAGAGGAACCGAUCGCUCCUGGGGAGACAGCUCAAGCCCGAGGAGGUGCUCAGGCCCUAACACCACACACCCCUUGCCCUGCUGGUUCUGUAACUGGUUGAAACCAGUGAGGCCUUUUCCUUCCAGUCUCCCGUUCUGAAGGGCAGUGUCCUGUGUCUUUUCACUGGGGCUUAUGCCUCCCACUCAUCUUGGGGAGCAAGUCACAAAGCUACCGAUAGGAGUGACACCCCAGGCUGAAUCAUACCCACAUCUCACCCAUACCUGAUUUAGGACAGAGACUGGCACCUCUGUAGCUGACCAAACUUAGAGCAGACUUUUAACUUUGAUGGGAUGACGCUUUUGGUCAUGUUAGGAUGAGAUGGUGACAAGGUCCAUCCGAGGCAGAAGCAUACCCUCUCUUCAUGUCCUGUCCUGGUCCAAGCCCAAGACCUGGAAGUUAAUACAGACCCUUGUAAUCUGAAUGGAUCUCAGAGCACUGUGUUCUUAGUGGGAAAUAAAGAUAGAACAGUAUGAGACUAAGAUGACACAGCUCUCCUGAGAGACGAUUGCAUCUCAGGCAGUCGUAGGUUUUAAUCCACUUUGGGCUUCUUUUUCCCAACCUAGAGGUAACCAGCAGAAUAUACCAGAAAUUCCCAUGCUCACGAGGGGAUGCUAUUCUGUUAGGUCUAAUAGAAUUAACACCCAAGAAAAGAGUAGAAAUGAGUUCUGGUAGAAUCCUUGGGAAGGGGUGAUUGGAGCAUCCCGAAAUUUUUUUAAAAAUCUGUUACUAAUAAGACUUUAAUCCAUUAUACUUGCAGUGUUUCUGCUUCAAAAUUGCAUUUAUAAUCAAAAUUUUAGGAUGAGAACUAAUUUUGAAUCAAGGUCUAAAUAUCCAAGAAGAGCUGAUUUUCAAAAUGCGCUCAAGGUUAGACAAGAGCACAUUGAAUGAAGUGGGAAGCAGUGGGCAGCGCCACUCAAUGGGGCAGAGCAGCGCUGCUGCUGACCCCAGAGGGGCAAGGCCCGUCAGUGUCCUGCAGCACCACCUCCUCCAUGUGCCAGCUGACCAGCUCCACCCACACGACCCACUGCCCCCCGCAGUCUGCAGUUAGCGGCCAGACACUUGAGCGUUUUGAUACCUGGCUCACCCCGGCCCAUUUCAGGGUUGCCAGACAUUGAGAGGUGUUCCCCUCAGCAGCGUGCAGUGUGGUGGCACUGUAGGAAGUUUGAAAACAAGAGGCACCACUGAUUAUUCCACCUUCACCAACGAUGUGUCUGGUCGCCCAAUCACCAUCACAGCGAUUCUGCAGGACAGCUUUUCUUCACUUUACAGAUGAGCUCAGAGCGACUGGCUGAGCUUCAAGUACAAGCUGACAACUGACCCCGAGCAGAGACUUCAGUGUGGUCUGCUGCCUACAUGCUGCCACACAGCUUCAAGUGCAAGCAAGGCUCUGCUGCUAAAACCAGGAGAGUUUUGGAGAUCCGGGUACAGAGGUACUGAGACAGCCCUGGGGGGAGUUGAGAACUGACUUAGCCAGGUGUUAGAAGUCACACACGCAACUCUCACGGCCAGUGACUGCCACCUCUGGUCUCUGCUGUAUCUGUCCAGGUUCCUGUUGCCAAAUAUUUCACCCAGAAUAUUAGCGAAUAAGCAAAAGGCCUCAGCUUGGACAAGUCACCUCAUCUGCAUUUAAACAGACCACAUCAUUUGCAGUUUCACUUACCCAAACUGAAAAUACCACCUGGAGGCGCGAAAAGGCAGGCGCAUCCCAGGCUUCCCUGGUGGCUCGGCUGUAGAGUCCACCUCCCAAUCGAGUUCGAGUCCUGAUCUGGGAAGAUCC